UUAAUGUUUAUUUAUCACUUACAGUAAGUACACGUACAAGCCUCUGACAUACAUAGUUGUGGCUCCGACGUGAGUAGAUACAAGGAGGAUGGACAGGCGCAUGACUAUAUUGGUAUUGCUUGCAGUCGCAAGCAUCGGUGCUUUGAGUGCUGCUAUUGCAGUGGGUAUCAUCCGCACCAGGCCAGAUGCAGCUGCGGCUGAAGAGGAGUAUGAUCUCGCCUUUUGCCAACCUCUAGUGAUAGCUCACCGCGGUGCCAGCGGCUACAUCCCAGAACACACCCUCGGGGCCUAUGCACUAGCAGCCACCAUGGGCUCCGACUACUUAGAACCAGACGUUGUCAUGACCAAAGAUGGAGUCAUCAUCGCCCGACAUGACAAUGAACUAGGCUUAACCACAGAUGUAGCACAACAUCCCGAAUUCGCCGACCGCUAUCGCACACAAACCGUCGAUGCAAAAGUAGUAAGUGGCUGGUUCACAGAAGACUUUACUCUUGCAGAGAUAAAAACUUUGCGUUCAAUUGAACGUAUACCUAAGACAAGACCAGGCAAUGCUAGAAUGGACACAGCUAUGGAUGUCCCAACAAUGCAAGAAAUUAUAGAUUUAACCAAAGGUCUUGAAGUCAGUCUUGGCCGGCCUAUUGGAAUUUACCCUGAAAUAAAACAUGGAACUCACUUCCAGCGUUUAGGUCUCGCUAUGGAAAAACCUCUUGUGGAUUUGCUGCACAACAAUGGUUACAGAGAUGCUAAAUCUCAUAUUUAUAUACAAUCAUUUGAAGUAAACAACUUGAAGGAAUUGAAAAAUAUGACUGAUCUUCGAUUGAUACAGCUCUUUGCUGGCAAUUCUAGUGGUCAACCUUUCGACCAAGUUGUGGAAGGAACAACCCUCACUUACGCUCAAAUGGCUACUGCAGAAGGGUUACGUGAGAUCGCGACGUACGCAUAUGCAGUAGGCCCUGACAAGCGUUAUAUAAUUCCUCGCAAUGACGAGGACAAGUUGGGGACAGUGACAAGUUUUGUGCAGGACGCCCACGCGGCAGGACUGAAAGUUCAUCCGUACACUUUUCGUUCUGAAAACGAAUUUCUGCCGGCCGAGUUCCGCAGCGAUGAUCCGUCACCAGACGCUCUCGGUGACGCUGAGGGAGAACUACGAGCGUUCCUAGCCACAGGAAUAGAUGGACUCUUUACGGACCAGCCAGAUGACUUAGUACGAAUUAAAAAUUGUGAUUGAAUUGGUGUUAGCUAAAAUUCUAGUGAAAUUGUAUUACAAGUGGCAAUAGUUGUUAUUUAGUGUUAAUUAGGACUAAUUUUAAGGUUAAUUAAGACGGUGUGUACAUAAGUAUAAACUAAUUUAAACCACCUUACCCUGUAUGAAAAUGGAUUAAACAUAUUUUGACUGUUAAAAAACUGAAAACUUGUGGGAUGUUUAAAUACGAGUUGAUAUUUAAAUUAAUCUACAAUACGUAUUUCUAGUCUAUGUACCUAGUAGAUUAUUAGUUGUGUGCUAUAUGCUUUACAUAAAGAAAAUAUCUACAACUAAACUGCUAAUCUUUUAAUCUGUUGGAUUUUAUUGACAACAUAUCAAUUACAUGAAGUCGGUGUUUCUUUUAAUCGCAUAAUAUUUCCUUAGCGGAAUUUUAAAGACUGAUCGUUAAUCACUCGUGUAGUUCUGUAAUUAGAUAAAUCCGUAUUCAUGUGGGGUAGGCUAUUUAAUUAGGUCGGAAAAUGCUUAUUAUUGUGAUCCUAAUCGUGUCAAGUUGCUAUCUAUUUUUGAUGACAGUUACCCAAAAAUAUAAUCUAAGAAUAAUGAUGAUAAAAUAAGUAAGUAGAUUUAAAUUACUUUUUCUGCAAAUUAACCAAUCCUUUGGAAAAUUACAACUUUAGUUGCCACUGGAAAAUAUGGAAUUGAUUCAUCAAAAUAACUCAAUUUUCACUUCUGGAUCUAAGUCCUUUAAAUAAGAUAAAUAAGCAGUCGAUUUACAAAGUUUGUUCAUAAUAUUAUUACUACAUACAUACUUAAUAGAUUUCAUCUACAAUACAUAGAAAUCUAAAAUUAUUGACCACAACACUACAGGCGUAAUAAAUUGAUACGAAAUGAACAUCAUAAAGUAAUAUAGAUAAAUAUAAGUAAAUAGGGGCAAUGAUACUUUAUCGUUAACCUCUGGCAGAACACGUGUUACGCAAGGUUCGUUCCGUCUCGUCACGCGACUGAUCACGACCACGGGCCUACCACUUCUGAAGUCUGAACUCCAGAUUGACAUUUUCGCGAUAAAAUAUUUCUGACGUUCGAGAGACCAUGUUAUCAAUUCUUUAUGUGUUCUUUAACAGGAUUUGCUUGAUUAAAUUGUGUGGUUGAACCAAUUUUACAAUAUUUUCAGGACACCAUUAGGUAUACUGAUUAGCUUAUUAUUUGACAGAUUUUAGUAUAGAAUAGCCGUUGCUUUAAGAAAUCUUUGGUGAAUUGUAUUCUAAGUAGGUAUAACAUGUUGACUGAUGUUGCCGAACGAUCUGAUUGUCAACUGUUAAUUUUCAUAAUAAUAGGUACCUACUUACUGAAGCAACUAACGUAAGUUACGACACAAAAUAAAAUGUAUAUUUAUGA
rnacentral:misc_RNA from 1 species